GAUUAGCCUGCUGUAGUGGGGGCUCAACCUGCGCUAGCGGAGGAGGUCCGGGUAACUCCCUUCUCUCCUAUUGCCUUCGCUGGGCAGCUACGAGAGCCUCCACCAUCUCAUAUAGUCUGUCAAGAUCCUCCCGAAGCGAAUUAUCCUGAGCUGCUCGGUUUAGUGGGGGCCUUCCUCUCCUCAUUCCCGUGUACCUGUUUUCGCAAGGAAUGAUUGAGUAACGAUAUAUCGGUGAGUAUUUAUCUAAGGCACUAUUGUGUAAGGGAUGGGUCCGAGGAAACGCGGCUCUGAUACCAAUUGUAACGACCCCAGAAAUAUUAAAAUGAAAUGAGUAUUUAAAUAUAUCAAAUGCGGAAGCGAGAUCAAAAUUUCAUUUAACAUCCCUUACACGAAAAAAACCAAAAACGUGCUUAAAAU
rnacentral:lncRNA from 1 species